rnacentral:rRNA from 1 species
GUGGGGAAUAUUGGGCAAUGGGGGAAACCCUGACCCAGCAACGCCGCGUGAAGGAAGAAGGCCUUCGGGUUGUAAACUUCUUUUACCAGGGACGAAGGACGUGACGGUACCUGGAGAAAAAGCAACGGCUAACUACGUGCCAGCAGCCGCGGUAAUACGUAGGUUGCAAGCGUUGUCCGGAUUUACUGGGUGUAAAGGGCGUGUAGGCGGAGAUGCAAGUUGGGAGUGAAAUCCCGGGGCUCAACCCCGGAACUGCUUUCAAAACUGUAUCCCUUGAGUAUCGGAGAGGCAAGCGGAAUUCCUAGUGUAGCGGUGAAAUGCGUAGAUAUUAGGAGGAACACCAGUGGCGAAGGCGGCUUGCUGGACGACAACUGACGCUGAGGCGCGAAAGCGUGGGGAGCAAACAGGAUUAGAAACCCUAGUAGUCCG